rnacentral:rRNA from 1 species
UCAAAUGAAUUAAGGCGUACGGUGGAGACCUAGGCACUCAGAGACGAAGAAGGGCGCAGAUACCGGCGAUACGCUUCGGGGAGCUGGCAACAAGCAUUGAUCCGGAGAUUCCCGAAUAGGGCAACCUCAUAGAACUACCUAUAUAAUUCAUAGUUAGGUAAGAGGCAACCCAGUGAACUGAAACAUCUAAGUAGCUGGAGGAAUAGAAAGCAAACGCGAUUCCCGUAGUAGCGGCGAGCGAACCGGGAACAGCCUAAACCCACCCCAUUUGGGGUGGGGGUCGUGGGAGGACAGAUCAUUUUCAUAAAAUUUUAAAUACGAAGCAGCUGAAUCCUGCACCAUAGAUGGUGAAAGUCCCGUAGUAAAACAAAAUUUAUUUACAUCUGGAAUAUAAAUCGCUUCGAGUGCCGUGCCGCGCCGCCGUUCGGCUACGUAGUUGCGACCGUGCCGCGCCUUCUUGUCCGAAGGACGCGAAGGCGUCGCGCUUGCCGGCAAGCGAAGGCUACGUAGUUGCGACCGUGCCGCGCCUUCUUGUCCGAAGGACGCGAAGGCGUCGGCCGUUCCGGCAAGCGAAGGCAAGGCAUAAAACAGAACCUAUUUUUUUCCAGAUAAAACAGUCUAAUCCCGAGUAGCAUGGGACACGUGAAAUCCCGUGUGAAUCAGCGAGGACCACCUCGUAAGGCUAAAUACUCCUGAGUGACCGAUAGCGAAAUAGUACCACGAGGGAAAGGUGAAAAGAACCCUUGUUAGGGAGUGAAAUAGAACAUGAAACCGUAUGCUGACAAGCAGUGGGAGCAAGUAUGCUUGUGACCGCGUGCCUGUUGAAGAAUGAGCCGGCGACUUAUAGGAAGUGGCAGGUUAAGGAGUUAAAUCCGGAGCCUAAGCGAAAGCAAGUCUGAAUAGGGCUCAAGUCACUUCUUAUGGACCCGAACCCGGGUGAUCUAACCGUGACCAGGAUGAAGCUUGGGUAACACCAAGUGGAGGUCCGAACCGACCGAUGUUGAAAAAUCGGCAGAUGAGUUGCGGUUAGCGGAGAAAUUCCAAUCGAACUCGGAGCUAGCUGGAUCUCCCCGAAAUGCGUUGAGGCGCAGCGGUAACGAUGAACGAUCUUGGGGUAAAGCGACUGUUUCGAUGCGGGCUGCGAGAGUGGUACCAAGUCGUGGCAAACUCAGAAUACAAGAUUUGUUUUCCGUAAACCAGUGAGACAGUGGGGGAUAAGCUUCAUGUGUCAAGAGGGAAACAGCCCAGACCACCAGCUAAGGCCCCUAAAUGGUCACUAAGUGGAAAAGGAUGUGAGAAUGCUGAAACAACCAGGAAGUUCGCUUAGAAGCAGCUAUCCUUAAAAGAGUGCGUAAUAGCUCACUGGUAAAGCGUUCUUGCGCCGAUAAUGGCCGGGACUAAGUGACCUGCCGAAGCUGUGGUAUAUUUUAUUAUAAAUUAUAGGUAGGGGAGCGUUCCGUUCUCGGGUGAAGUUUUCACGUAAGUGGGGAUGGACGGUACGGAAGUGAGAAUGUUGGCUUGAGUAACGAAAACAUUGGUGAGAAUCCAAUGCCCCGAAAACCUAAGGGUUCCUCCACUAGGUUCGUCCAUGGGGGGUUAGUCAGGACCUAAGGCUAGGCAAGUACACAAUUUGCGUCGUCGAUGGCAAACAGGUUAAUAUUCCUGUACUAAUUAAAUUAGGAUCUGAGGGACGAAGGAGGCUAAGCUGGAACUGUUUUUGGAUUGCAGUGGAAGCGUUUAGACGUUGAGAGAUCGAACAAAAACGAUCUUGAGUGGAGGCGUAAUCCCUACUUUUUGGUUCGCCAAAAAGUAGCUAGUGAUGUCAUACUUCCAAGAAAAGCUCAUACAUCUUUAUAAUUUAAUUACCUGUACCUGAAACCGACACAGGUAGGUUGGUAGAGAAUACUAAGGGGCGCGAGAGAACUCUCUCUAAGGAACUCGGCAAACUGGCCCCGUAACUUCGGAAGAAGGGGCGCCCAGGAUUCAUUUCUUGGGUCGCAGUGACCAGGCUCAGGCGACUGUUUACCAAAAACACAGGUCUCCGCAAAGUCGUAAGACAAUAUAUGGGGGCUGACGCCUGCCCAGUGCCGGAAGGUUAAGGAAGUUGGUUACUGUUAAAGGGAAGCUGACGACCGAAGCCCCGGUGAACGGCGGUCGUAACUAUAACGAUCCUAAGGUAGCGAAAUUCAUUGUCGAGUAAGUUUCGACCUGCACGAAAGGCGUAACGAUCUGAGCGCUGUCUCAGAGAGAGGCUCGGUGAAAUAGACUUGUCCCGUGAAGAUGCGGACUACCUACACCUGGACAGAAAGACCCUAUGAAGCUUGACUGUAUCUUGGAAUUGGGUUCGGGCUUUUCUUGCGCAGCCUAGGUGGGAGGCGUUGAAGAUUACCUUCCGGGGUAGUUGGAGCCAUCAGUGAGAGACCACUCUGGAAGAGCUAGAAUUCUAAUGGGGAUCCUUGAAUCAGGACCCUUGACAGUUUCAGGUGGGCAGUUUAUUUGGGGCGAAUACCUCCUAAAAGGUAACGGAGGUGUGCAAAGGUUCCCUCAGUCUGGACGGAAAUCAGACAUUGAGUGUAAAGGCAAAAGGGAGCUUGACUGCAAGACCUACAAGUCGAGCAGGGGCGAAAGCCGGCCUUAGUGAUCCGACGGUGCCGAGUGGAAGGGCCGUCGCUCAACGGAUAAAAGUUACUCUAGGGAUAACAGGCUGAUCUUCCCCAAGAGUUCACAUCGACGGGAAGGUUUGGCACCUCGAUGUCGGCUCAUCACAUCCUCGGUCUGUAGUAGGUCCGAAGGGUUGGGCUGUUCGCCCAUUAAAGUGGUACGUGAGCUGGGUUCAAAACGUCGUGAGACAGUUUGGUCCAUAUCCGGUGUAGGCGCUAGAGCAUUGAGAGUAGCCUUUCAUAGUACGAGAGGACCUGAAAGGACAUGCCAAUUGUGUACCAGUUCUCAUUCCAAUGGGAAACGCUGGGUAGCUACGCAUGGAUAGAUAACUGCUGAAAGCAUCUAAGUAGGAAGCUAAACUCAAGAUGAGUGCUCUCUAAGGCCGCGGCUAGACAAGCCGUUAUAUAGGUAUCAGGUGUACAGUCAGCAAUGGCUUCAGCCGAGAUAUACUAAAGGCCGUUUGAUUUUGAC